AGGGGAAUAGCUGGGGUGAAUGGUGGUUCCAUUCUCAGCUUUCCAAGGAAUCUCCAUACUGCUUUCCAGAUUGGCUGCACCAAUUUGCAGUCCCACCAGCAAU
rnacentral:pre_miRNA from 1 species